rnacentral:rRNA from 1 species
CCUACGGGUGGCAGCAGUGGGGAAUAUUGCACAAUGGUGGAAACCCUGAUGCAGCGACGCCGCGUGAGUGAAGAAGUAUUUCGGUAUGUAAAGCUCUAUCAGCAGGGAAGAAAAUGACGGUACCUGAUUAAGAAGCCCCGGCUAACUACGUGCCAGGAACCGCGGUAAUACGUAGGGGGCAAGGGUUAUCCGGAUUUACUGGGUGUAAAGGGAGCGUAGACGGCAGCACAAGUCUGGAGUGAAAUGGCGGGGCUUAACCCCGGAACUGCUUUGGAAACUGGGCAGCUAGAGUGCAGGAGAGGUAAGUGGAAUGCGUGGUGUAGCGGUGAAAUGCGUAGAUAUUAGGAGGAACACCAGUGGCGAAGGCAGCUUACUGGACUGUAACUGACGUUGAGGCUCGAAAGCGUGGGGAGCGAACAGGAUUAGAUACCCUUGUAGUC